rnacentral:sRNA from 1 species
AUGGAAGUAAAAAAUCGUAACAAGGUUUCCGUAGGUGAACCUGCGGAAGGAUCAUUACCGAGUGAGGGCCCUCUGGGUCCAACCUCCCACCCGUGUUUAUUUUACCUUGUUGCUUCGGCGGGCCCGCCUUAACUGGCCGCCGGGGGGCUUACGCCCCCGGGCCCGCGCCCGCCGAAGACACCCUCGAACUCUGUCUGAAGAUUGUAGUCUGAGUGAAAAUAUAAAUUAUUUAAAACUUUCAACAACGGAUCUCUUGGUUCCGGCAUCGAUGAAGAACGCAGCGAAAUGCGAUACGUAAUGUGAAUUGCAAAUUCAGUGAAUCAUCGAGUCUUUGAACGCACAUUGCGCCCCCUGGUAUUCCGGGGGGCAUGCCUGUCCGAGCGUCAUUUCUGCCCUCAAGCACGGCUUGUGUGUUGGGCCCCGUCCUCCGAUCCCGGGGGACGGGCCCGAAAGGCAGCGGCGGCACCGCGUCCGGUCCUCGAGCGUAUGGGGCUUUGUCACCCGCUCUGUAGGCCCGGCCGGCGCUUGCCGAUCAACCCAAAUUUUUAUCCAGGUUGACCUCGGAUCAGGUAGGGAUACCCGCUGAACUUAAGCAUAUCAAUAAGCGGAGGAAAAGAAACCAACAGGGAUUGCCCCAGUAACGGCGAGUGAAGCGGCAAGAGCUCAAAUUUGAAAGCUGGCUCCUUCGGGGUCCGCAUUGUAAUUUGUAGAGGAUGCUUCGGGAGCGGUCCCUAUCUAAGUGCACUGGAACGGGACGUCAUAGAGGGUGAGAAUCCCGUAUGGGAUGGGGUGUCCGCGCCCGUGUGAAGCUCCUUCGACGAGUCGAGUUGUUUGGGAAUGCAGCUCUAAAUGGGUGGUAAAUUUCAUCUAAAGCUAAAUAUUGGCCGGAGACCGAUAGCGCACAAGUAGAGUGAUCGAAAGAUGAAAAGCACUUUGAAAAGAGAGUUAAAAAGCACGUGAAAUUGUUGAAAGGGAAGCGCUUGCGACCAGACUCGCUCGCGGGGUUCAGCCGGCAUUCGUGCCGGUGUACUUCCCCGCGGGCGGGCCAGCGUCGGUUUGGGCGGUCGGUCAAAGGCCCUCGGAAGGUAACGCCCCUAGGGGCGUCUUAUAACCCAAGGGUGCAAUGCGACCAUGCCUAGACCGAAGAACGCGCUUCCGCUCAGACCCUGGCAUAAUGGUCGUAAACGACCCGUCUUGGAACCCGGACCAUGGAGUCUAACAUCUACCCCGAGUGUUCGGGUGGCAAACCCGUGCGCGG